rnacentral:tRNA from 1 species
GACCCUGUUUAUAGGUUGCAAGCCUAAACAUGCCAAGUAAUUUUGGCCGGGGUUU